AAAGAUUCUAAACUUGCAUAUCUUAAUAUCUAAUUUCUUUUUUCUUUCUUUCUUUAAUUCUAGUGUAAUUACACACAGUGUUAUAUUAGUUUCAAGUUUACAAUAUAGUGAUUCAACAAUUCUAUACACUACUCAGUGCUCAUCAUGAGAGAAGGAGAGGAAAAGCAAGGAGUGGCAAGCAGAGGGAGAGGAGAAGCAGGCUGCCUGCUGAGCAGGAAGCCCGACAUGGAGCUCCAUCCUAGGACCCUGGGAUCAUGACCUGACCUGAAAGCAGACACUUAAUGGACUGAGUCACCCAGGUACCCCAUGACUCUAAGUUUCUUAGUCAAGAUGCUGCAGGCUGCAGUGCUC
rnacentral:lncRNA from 1 species